rnacentral:misc_RNA from 1 species
AACACCUCAACCAGAUUUUUUUCUGGAUGGACUUGAGCAAACCCAACAUUGGUCUCUUUCGAGAGGUCGGCGGCGGGUUGCUUGAAAUGCAGGUGCAGCUGUGACAAGAACAGACUGAGCUAAAAGCAUAUCUAAUUUAGUCCGCCUGGCGGAUUAUCUCUAUUUGCUGCAGUUCAACUAAAAGUCGUCUUGGCGAGCUGACUGAUGCAGGAUUUGUCAGACUUUCCUCUCUCUUUGGAGAAAGGGCUUUCUUUCAAA